rnacentral:rRNA from 1 species
UACGUAGGUGGCGAGCGUUAAUCGGAUUUACUGGGCGUAAAGGGUCCGUAGGGGUCUGCCAAGUCGGGUGUGAAAUGUCGCGGCUCAACCGCGGGACUGCACUCGAUACUGGCGGGCUUGAGUCCGCAAGGGGUGAACGGAAUUCCUGGUGUAGCGGUGGAAUGCGUAGAUAUCAGGAAGAACACCGAUGGCGAAAGCGGUUCACUGGUGCGGCACUGACCCUGAGGGACGAAAGCGUGGGUAGCAAACAGG